CUAACUCUAGGCGCAUAACAGUUCGCUGGAGAAGAAGAUGAAGAAAGGCGGCCGGAGAAGAAACCGACCACUGUUGCUGCCGCAUCGGAGACCUAAAUUGACACCGGUAAGCGCAAUUUUCUCCUGUUUAUCUUGUGUUUCCAUUCUAAGCUACCCAAAACCCUUCUUGAUGCAGGAAAACCUGAGGAGAAGCUAGAAGCAUAGAGCGGAGCUCGGCUUAGGUGCCAUACCCAAAAUCAAAAAACACUCUGGUGAGCCCGACCGAACCCUUUUUUUGUUCCUUCUAUA
rnacentral:lncRNA from 1 species